rnacentral:rRNA from 1 species
GUCGAACGCGAAAGGGGCUUCGGCCCUGAGUAGAGUGGCGAACGGGUGAGUAACGCGUGGGUGAUCUACCUUUGAGUGGGGGAUAACGUUCCGAAAGGAGCGCUAAUACCGCAUGAUGUUCUGGGUUUCAAGACCUGGAAACCAAAGCCGGGGACCGCAAGGCCUGGCGCUUAAAGAGGAGCCCGCGUCCGAUUAGCUAGUUGGCGGGGUAAUGGCCCACCAAGGCGACGAUCGGUAGCCGGCCUGAGAGGGCGGACGGCCACACUGGAACUGAGACACGGUCCAGACUCCUACGGGAGGCAGCAGUGGGGAAUUGUUCACAAUGGGCGCAAGCCUGAUGACGCAACGCCGCGUGGGGGAUGAAGGUCUUCGGAUUGUAAACCCCUGUCGAACGGGACGAAAGACUCGGGAGCUAAUCAUCUCGAGAGUGACGGUACCGUUAAAGGAAGCCACGGCUAACUCUGUGCCAGCAGCCGCGGUAAUACAGAGGUGGCAAGCGUUGUUCGGAAUUACUGGGCGUAAAGGGCGCGUAGGCGGCCAUCUAAGUCAGACGUGAAAUCCCCCGGCUUAACCUGGGAACUGCGUCUGAUACUGGACGGCUUGAGUAUGGGAGAGGGAUGUAGAAUUCCAGGUGUAGCGGUGAAAUGCGUAGAUAUCUGGAGGAAUACCGGUGGCGAAGGCGGCAUCCUGGACCAUUACUGACGCUGAGGCGCGAAAGCUAGGGGAGCAAACGGGAUUAGAUACCCCGGUAGUCCUAGCCCUAAACGAUGAAUGCUUGGUGUGGCGGGUAUCGAUCCCUGCCGUGCCGAAGCUAACGCAUUAAGCAUUCCGCCU